AACGAACGCUGGCGGCAUGCCUAACACAUGCAAGUCGAACGAGACCUUCGGGUCUAGUGUCGCACGGGUGCGUAACGCGUGGGAAUCUGCCCUUGGGUUCGGAAUAACAGUUGGAAACGACUGCUAAUACCGGAUGAUGACGUAAGUCCAAAGAUUUAUCGCACAAGGAUGAGCCCGCGUAGGAUUAGCUAGUUGGUGAGGUAAAGGCUCACCAAGGCGACGAUCCUUAGCUGGUCUGAGAGGAUGAUCAGCCACACUGGGACUGAGACACGGCCCAGACUCCUACGGGAAGCAGCAGUGGGGAAUAUUGGACAAUGGGCGAAAGCCUGAUCCAGCAAUGCCGCGUGAGUGAUGAAGGCCUUAGGGUUGUAAAGCUCUUUUACCCGGGAUGAUAAUGACAGUACCGGGAGAAUAAGCUCCGGCUAACUCCGUG
rnacentral:rRNA from 1 species